GACGAACGCUGGCGGCGUGCCUAAUACAUGCAAGUAGAACGCUGAAGGAGGAGCUUGCUUCUCUGGAUGAGUUGCGAACGGGUGAGUAACGCGUAGGUAACCUGCCUGGUAGCGGGGGAUAACUAUUGGAAACGAUAGCUAAUACCGCAUAAGAGUAGAUGUCGCAUGACAUUUGCUUAAAAGGUGCAAUUGCAUCACUACCAGAUGGACCUGCGUUGUAUUAGCUAGUUGGUGAGGUAACGGCUCACCAAGGCAACGAUACAUAGCCGACCUGAGAGGGUGAUCGGCCACACUGGGACUGAGACACGGCCCAGACUGCUACGGGAGGCAGCAGUAGGGAAUCGUCGGCAAUGGACGGAAGUCUGACCGAGCAACGCCGCGUGAGUGAAGAAGGUUUUCGGAUCGUAAAGCUCUGUUGUAAGAGAAGAACGAGUGUGAGAGUGGAAAGUUCACACUGUGACGGUAUCUUACCAGAAAGGGACGGCUAACUACGUG
rnacentral:rRNA from 1 species